GACGAACGCUGGCGGCGUGCUUAACACAUGCAAGUCGAACGGAAAGGCCCUGCUUUUGUGGGGUGCUCGAGUGGCGAACGGGUGAGUAACACGUGAGUAACCUGCCCUUGACUUUGGGAUAACUUCAGGAAACUGGGGCUAAUACCGGAUAGGAGCUCCUGCUGCAUGGUGGGGGUUGGAAAGUUUCGGCGGUUGGGGAUGGACUCGCGGCUUAUCAGCUUGUUGGUGGGGUAGUGGCUUACCAAGGCUUUGACGGGUAGCCGGCCUGAGAGGGUGACCGGCCACAUGGGGACUGAGAAACGGCCCAGACCCCAACGGGGGGAAGGAGGGGGGAAUUUGGCAAAAGGGGCGGAAGCCUGAGCCAGCAACGCCGGGGGGGGGAGGACGGCCUUCGGGUGGAAAACCGCUUUCGCCUGGGACGAAGCGGGAGUGACGGUAAUGGGUAAAGAAGCACCGGCUAACUACGG
rnacentral:rRNA from 1 species